rnacentral:rRNA from 1 species
AACGCUGGCGGCAGGCCUAACACAUGCAAGUCGAACGAACCUUUCGGGGUUAGUGGCGGACGGGUGAGUAACCCGUGGGAACGUGCCUUUAGGUUCGGAAUAACUCAGGGAAACUUGUGCUAAUACCGAAUGUGCCCUUCGGGGGAAAGAUUAAUCGCCUUUAGAGCGGCCCGCGUCUGAUUAGCUAGUUGGUUGAGGUAAUGGCUCACCAAGGCGACGAUCAGUAGCUGGUCUGAGAGGAUGAUCAGCCACAUUGGGACUGAGACACGGCCCAAACUCCUACGGGAGGCAGCAGUGGGGAAUCUUGCGCAAUGGGCGAAAGCCUGACGCAGCCAUGCCGCGUGAAUGAUGAAGGUCUUAGGAUUGUAAAAUUCUUUCACCGGGGACGAUAAUGACGGUACCCGGAGAAGAAGCCCCGGCUAACUUCGUG